AUCAUUAAGGCAAGCAAUAUUUUGUCAGUUUUGAAAAGUACGAAGGAACGAAUUAACAACUCUAGCAAGAAAUAAAAGAUCAACUUUGAUAACAUGGGAUUGAUGGACAACACCCUGAAUUUUAAAAUCGUUUCUCUGUAAAGAAUAGAUUUAACUUGCGUUCUUCUACUGUAGUCUUCAUACGAAACAACGACAGAAUAUUCCCAUCUUUUUCUCUCCCACGAACUCACAGCCAAUACAUACUCGACACUACAGUGCCCAGUGCCCUGUACACUACCGUCGUAUCUACUAUCUUCCAUCCUCGUCCUCAUCACGUUCAUAAUAUCUUCAUUCUCAUGUUCCAUACGUUCCACUCAAAGUUCCAGUCUCUGUCAAACAAUCUGCCACCCAUAUCGACUAUCUUUCUCUCAAUGAUACUCUUCCCUAUCCAGUAGCAUAUAACUCUCUUUUCUUCGUUCCACUAGUCGCUCUUUAUAUGCUCCAUCUCCCUUUAUUUCAUACUAGACAGUCUCUUUUUUUCUUCAAUUCAUGUUCUCUGUUCCAUUCAAACGCUAGUCGUUCCCUUUCUUUGUCGCUCUAACAUGCUACUUAUAAGACUAUCCUCGUCUAAUCGUCUCUCCUUGUUCAGUAUAUACGUCGCUCCUCCUCCGACAGGCUUGCGUGCACAGUUUUUUCUCCGCUUUCGUCGUUCCCUCACAGUAUCGUAUAUCGCUAUCUCUAUCUUUCUUCUUCUUGUUUCACAUUGUAUAUCUGUCCCUCUUUGGUUCCACGGAACAACUCUGUUCCCCCUAUCUCUGUCGUUCUUGACUCGCGUCACGCACAUUUUUUUGCAGCCCCGGCGCUCUCCCGCUCCAUCUAUCUUCUAUCUUUAUCUGUUCUUUGACGCUUCCACGUACGUUUAUCCUUCUCUCGCUCUCCCGCUCCGAAUAUCUUCUAUCUUUAUCCGUUCUCUAAUGCUUCUGUGUUUGUCCUUUUCUCGCUCUCCCGCUCCGAAUAUCUUCCAUCUUCGUUUCUUGUUCGUUCUAUACAUAUGUCUAUCCUUGUCUCACUUUCUGCAAUAAGUCUUCCCCUUUUUCUUACGUAUUCCCUCUUCGUUCGACGAAUCGAUUCAGCGAUGUUGGUGCUUGUUUAAUGGAUUCGUUCUCUGUCUGGGUUUGUCUUUGUCGGCUUCACGAGCCAGUGCACACGAGGAUAGAGGAGAAACGGGUUCCGUUGGCGGUCUCUGUCGCACGCUCGCUGCCUGGCCCACCCACCGCAAUAAGUUCCACCCGCCCACGUUACCUCUCACGCACUUCUGCCGCGCGAUCAUCCGUUGCGAAUUGGAAAGCAGGCGCGUCGCUUAUCUCGCUCCGGCAUCUCCCUCCGCGCGCAGCGACGGCAGUGCAAGAGAGAAACGCGUCUCUGCUCUCGAGUUUUCGUUUCUUUAUAGUUGGGAUACAAGGAGGAGGAAGAAGCUAGCGGGCGAGUUUUCAUUUUGCGGGAAAAUUGGACGACGCGACGCAAUCUACGACGAGCAUAGAUCGUUAAACGAUGUCUAAACUAUUAAGGAACGAGUGAUAGUUUAUCAUAAUUAAACCGCGGAAUUUUACGUUUCUGGAUAAUUUGAAGAUAAAAAUGUGCAACAUACAUGUAAUGUGACAUGUAUAGAGUGUAAUGUUUGUUAUGGUAUUUGGUAGAACACAUUUCCGUCUGGGCCCGGUUUUUGGAAUUGUAUUCAGAAAAAUAUGAACUUGCAUGAAUAUCCGCACUUUAAUCGCGAUGUUAUAAAUAUAAUAUAUCAAUUUCUUUAAAUUGCACAGCUUUGUUAUGGCUAAAUUGCUAAAAAUACAGAUAUCGGUAAUGUAAAUUGAUUGCAAGAAACCGGAAAUGAAAUGCUACGGCCAAGAUACAUAAUUACAUCGUCAUUAGCGUGAAAUUUCACAAUUUAAACGAUUUUUCCAUGUUAAAAUACAGCAUUGCGUUUGAUACGUCGUAUUCACUUGCCUUCGCCAAUUAUUCACCGCGUAAUUGAUAGAUCCGUUUAUAUUACAGGUCCGGAGGAUGAGCUGGUGAGGAAACAAGGCCAACAGGAUCUUUCCAUUUGCCAUCGUUUGAAACGGUUGAUUUAAGUGACGUCCAACAGCGCAAAAUAGACUGCACCUCAAAAACAAGGUCAUAUCGGACAUAUGUUUACAGCUGUGUUAGUACAUACAUCCGCAGCUUUUCCGCGGACGACGUAUGCCGAUUGCCGAUUGGACAAUUGUCUGUCAGUAUGAACUAGGCUUCAGUGAACCCAGCAAAAGCUCGACUCGAUCUGCCGAGUCUCUCUCUCGACUCUCCACAAUCCACAACAAUUGCCGUGUAUGCGAUCCUGUUUCCACGGCGGCAGCGGGCGACGACGGCGUCUGCGUGGCGUCAGCUGGGCGUGCCAUCUUGCACGUCUGCGUCCGUCUGCCCAUGGUAUCAGGGUGCCACGCUAUCUAAGAAGCUACUUAACUCCCUCUAACGAACCAAGAGACAAGCCAACAAAACCCGAUAAGUAACAGGAGUUUCGCAGUUGGAUGAACACAGGCCGAACAUUCACGACCGAAGAAGCCAAACGAGGAACGUGAAACGACGAAGGAGGUGUUCUCUGUUCAGGAACAAGAAAGGAGGCGACGAACGAAGGGGUAAGCGGACAGAGAAUGAGUCGAGGGGAGUGAUGAUUUGGUGGAACCAAACCGGUGCUGCCAGUGCUGUCGCGACGAGGAGAGUGUCACGCUCUCUCUGCUGUGCGUGGAAGAAACGAGGAGAGGGUCGCGCUUCGAGCAAGGCGACAGGAACGCCAGGAAGUAACACGCUUGCUAUUGUGAGCAACCAGUACCACUUUGGCGGCUCUUUUUGCCUUGAUGCUGGGAUUAUUAGGAGAAACGCGAGUCUGUCUCGUUGUUCGGCAAUAGGAGGUGGCGUUGGAGAGUCUGGAUCGAAGCGAAGGUGGUGGAGCAUUGAAAGUAUACUGGGAAGACUGGAAAGGGAUUUUUUGAGAGGUUUUCGGGAAGUUUUACAAUUACAUUUCGAUUACUUUAAACGAACAGCAUACAGGAUAUUGUGAUUCAAAAUUACUACAGAUUAUCUCCUUUGGACCUUCAAAUACUAAUAUUUCCAUAUGAACCUCUCUCGUGAACACACGAGGAAAUUAUGAUAUUGUAAGAAGAGGUUUUAUGAAAUUGCGCUGACCCAGUUUCUCUUGCUUUCCUUGUACACGAUUGGAUUGAAUGGCGUCUCGUGGAUUGAUCCUAGUUUAAUGGGGACAGCGUGGCAUUUGGGAAACGUGUGCCUCUGGACGCUUGGAACAGGUACUAUACCAUUUAACGAAAAGACAGUAAAGAUAGUCAGAAAACUUGUUAACCAAAAGUCAAUAACAUUUUACUUGGCUGGCUUUACUAUUUGAAUUGGUAAACUCAGUUUCGAUGGGAAAACCGAAGCGGAAAAUCGUGGCUAGGCGAAACUAAAAACGUAGCCGGUUCCAUCGGAGACAGUGGCACGGUGUGUCAGUGACCCUGCGGUCGAGGCUGCUGCAGCAGGAAAACGCGAAACCACCGCACGGGUAGAUAUCGAUUUGUCUGUGUUCGCUAGGAAAAAAAGUUGGCCGGCCUUCUGACGUUCGCCGCUGAUAUUGCCCGCAGUUCACGCUGACGUGCCAUUUACUCACUCGAACGACCUCCUCACGGCCGUUCGUUCUACCUCCUGCCGUUCCACCUCCUCAUCAGCGUUCCACGAUCGUUCGUUUUAUCGAGGAAGCUCAGGAUGAAAGAUAAUAUCGAGACUGAUUAAAUAUAGCACAACGUUCCAGCAAAAUUUUCGUCCUUUUAAUGGGAAUACGGGAAUACGAGAAGAGAAAUAUUGGAAUCUUUCGACUUAAGACGGAACUUAACUCUUUGGCGCAUGGAUGAAUAUGAUGUUUGUUUGAGAGAACAACGCUUGGAUAGGAAAGGAAAAGCCGUAACUACAAGACUGUUUUCUUUUCUUAAACGCGGACAAAAAUUGCUCAUUGUGCGAUAAUUACACUGAUACAUUGGAGUAUGGCGAUGACGUAACAAUUGCAAGCGCAAUUCUCAAGAGUCCCACCAUUUGUAAACACAAGAUGGAAAAAUAGUGAAGUCUCGUCUCCAUUGAAAUAAACCGAGCAACAUGCUUGUUGCCUUUUCUACGACAUCUCCAAGUUAAAAAAAUAUACCAAAUGUCCAGCUGGACGAAUU